GCAUUUGACCUCACUCAAAUUUUUUUUUUUCACAAAUAGCCCUAUCAAAUUUAUAAUUGUAAAUUUGACCCUAUUCUUGCCACGCAAGAGUCCCAUCAGCAUCAUGCAAGCCGGCUGGGGAGUGGCGUUAAGUUGAAUACGGUGAACCAUUCACUAUGUUCAAACACGGUGAAUGGUUUAUUGUGUUCCAUACUUCUAUUCCCCUUUUUUGAUACUUAUAUUUUUUUUUCACCAUGUCUACUGUGUUUAGACACGGUGAAUGGAUUACCGUGUUCAACUUAUUUCAGCAUCUCCAUCUUUGUUCACGUGGCGCUUACGUGGCGCCUGUGUGGCAGGGAUAGAGCCAAAAUUACAAUUACAAAUUUUGUGGUGUUAUUUGUGAAAAUAAUUUUUUGAGGAAGCCAAAUGCAAAAAAAGCUCAAGAAGUAGAGAUCUCAACCCUUUUUUUUGGGAUAAUAUAUUUAGGGAUAAUUGCCUAUAUACCGCUCAUACGUUUGAAAAUAUUCAAUUUAUCCCUACUUUUUUUUUCUUUCUAAAAUACCCUUUAUAUGUUUCACCGUUAUUACAAAAUAUCCCCGCAGUUAUCUCAUUUUAAGUUAACUUGGGUUAAACGUGAGUUAAAUAUCUACCACAGUUAAAAAAAAAUUAAAAUGCCAAUUUUGUCCUUAACUUAAGGACAAAUAAGAAAUGUUGGUGACGGUAGAGGGGUAUAUUGGAAAAGACCAAAAGUCAAAAUACUUUUUGUGCUCCUGACUUUAAGGGCAAAUAAAAAAGUCAGUGACGGUGGAAGGGUAUAUUUGAAAGGGCAAAAUAGUAAUUUUACAAAGUUAACAAGGUUAAUUAACAGAUUUUAACUCUAGGGGUAUAUAAAAAAUAGGUCAGAACGUAAAGAGGGUAUUUCAAUAUUAGCCUUCUAAGAGGGGUAAAUCGGAAAGUCGGAAACUUUUCAGGAGUAUAUAAGCAAUUGCCCCUAAUAUUUAAUAGGGAUAAUUGCCUUAUAUACCGCUCAAAACUUCAAAAUAUCUCAUUUACCCCUAUUUUUUUUCUUUUUCAAUAUACCCCUCAUAUGUUUCUCUGUUAUUCCAAAAUACUCCUACAGUUACCACCCAUUAAGUUAACUUCAGUUAAACAUGAGUUAAGUAUCUACUGGAGUUAAAAAAAAAAUCAAAUGCCUAUUUUGCCAUUAACUUAGGCUUAGUUUGGUAUUGAGGUCUAUCUAAUGCUAUUAGAUAGAAUGGAGUUGAGAAAAAGCAUAUAGGGAUAUGCUUCUGCGUUCUCCGAUGAGACCGCAGAAAAUAUAUCGUAACCGACUAACCGCAAUAUGCAAAACGCAAUAUUAUGUACGGAAACAAACAGAGUAUUUUCCAAUCGUCGUUUCUCACCGCAUAUAACGCAAUCUCCCCGCAAUCCCAAACGAAGCCUUAAGGGUAAAUACGAAAUAUUGGUGAUGGUAGAAGGGUAUAUUUGAAAAGACCAAAAAUCAAAAUACGUUUUGUACCCUAACUUAAGGGCGAAUAAGAAAAGUCGGUGAUGGUGGAAAGGUAUAUUUGAAAGGGUAAAAUAAUAAUUUCAUACAGAUAACGGCUAUUGCUAACAGUUCAUUAAUAUAAUUUAACUUUAGGGUAUAUUUGAAAUAGGUUGCAACGUAAAAAAAUAUUUUUAAUUUUAGUCUUUUAAGAGGGGUAAAUCAGAAAGUCGAAAAUUUUUCAGGGAUAUAUAAACAAUUGUCCCUAUUCAACUACCCUUCGAAACUUAAAAAAUAUAUAAUAUAUAUUUCUGGUUGAUCAAAAUAUUUUUAUUGAUGUUUAAAAAUCUCUUCAAAUAUCCCCAAAUCUUUUAGGGUUUACUUAUAGGAAUUGAGGUACGGAAGGGUAUUUUGAUAAUUUCAGAAAUUUUGAAGGCGAAAGCCCUUUUUUUAAUCAGAAAUACAUAUGUAGCAAUUUCAACUUCCAAUUCCUUGGAUAGUCAUUCUGGAUAAUAAAUUACUAUUUUACGUAACGGUUGUUUUUACAUUGAAUUUGUUGUCCUUUAGAGAUACAUAAUUUGAUAAAGAGUGAUGCUACUGGUACAAUCCCAUGUGGGUUGUAGAUCAUACAACCAUUAGAUCCAAGGGCUGAAAUUAAUCUGAUUUAGGAAAAAAGAAAAAAUGAUAACUUCACUCCCCCUUUUCUUUUCCUUACACUUUCUCUUUUUUCCUCUUUUCUUCUGGGGCAUCUUGCGAGAGAGAGAGACCUGCGAGCGCCCUCCCUGCCGACAUCCCUCUUUUCUUCCAGGGCAUCCUCCGCCCGAGAGAGAGGCGAGUGUAAGAUAUUGAUUUCCCAUCUUAUUAAACCACUUUUGGUCAAAAGGACCAAAGCGUGGCGAGAGAGAUGCUUGGACAUAGCCCAUGGGACAUUCCAAUAAUGUUGGAAGGGUAAAGUUGAGUUCUAAAAGAGAUGAUUGAGUUUUAAUAUUGUUUGGCGUGAAAUAGAAGUUGAACAAGUGCAAAACUGCAGUCUGGGCAUUUUGUAACCGGUUAAACAUCAGAGUGGUACCGGUACCCCGUAGCAGACUGAGAGUAGCAGCUCUCGGGUUUGAGUAUUUUAGGCUGUUAAACCGGUGACACCCCUAAUACGUACCGGUACCAGAUCAGUUAACCGAGAAUGCAGCUCUCGGGUUUGGCCUCUGCGCAGCUGGUUAACCGGUGACAGAAAGCCCGCGUACCAGUACCAAGUGCAGAAAACUGCAGGUUGCAGUAUGUUGCAAAUAGCAAUUGUUGGGGGGUUUAUUGCAGUUAUGGCAGCUUAUAAAUAGAUCUCAUCUCCCCUCUCUUGUUCACAACUAGAGAACACUUCUUCUUCAUCUUUUUUCUCACUUUCUCUCUCUAGAAGCUCUCCCAAGGGUGGAAGCAAGUGAAGGGAUUGGUGGAGGUUGAAGCGAGGAAGUGGAUCUUCGUCUUCUUCAUCUUUUUUCUUGGCUUGGAGGCGUUGUGGAGAGAUAAGCUCUUGGAGCUUUAAUGGUAGAUUUCUAGGGUUUGAGUUUUAAACUCUAGAAUUGGUUUUAGUGGAACCCUUUGGUACUAAAUAGAUGUUAUUUACUUGAAUCGAGAAUCCUUAUAGUGUAUUCAUGCAAGAUCGAACAUCUAGGGUUACGAAAAAGGGUUUUGUUAAAUUGAGAUUCAAAGUUGGGAUUGAUCUCUUUUAUAUCUAUCUCCUAGGUAAUCGAACGCAUUCGUGAACUCAGUUCGGCAAUCCGACGAGUCGGCGCGAAGAUAUUAAAGGAAAGCCUAUUUUUGGCUUCGUUUGCCGUAGUCGAGAGAGAUAGGCGGCGGAAAAUUACGAAAGUUGGAGUCUAGGUUCGUAGCAUCACCAGAAGGUGGGGAGUGUCCAUCCCGAAGCAGUUAAACUUCCUUUUUUGUCCAAGUUGUUUUAUUAUAACAUCUGUUCAUAUAUAUUGUUAUCAUGCAUUAUAGGUUGUGUUAAGUAGUUGUACUUCAAUUCCUUACAUGUUUCUAUAGAAGAAAUCAUAUAGUGAGUUGAGCACUUGAUUUAGUGGACACAUGAGGAUUGGGUCUUGACAUGGAAUCCUAUAGUGCCAAAGAAUAAAAGAUGCACUUGGACAUGUAAAUGAACUCAAAGAGUGGCAUUUGGACUAGUGUAGUGGAAACACUAUGACAUGAACUUAGGAAUAGAUGAUGAUUUCCUGAGUAGUAGCAUGUAAACCAAAGAGUGGUAUUUGGACUAGUGUAGUGAAAACACUUACAACUUGAUGACAUGAACUUAUGAAUAAAAGAUGAUUUCCUAAGUAGUAGCAUGUGAACUAGUGCAACAGAGACCUAACUAUCCUCGAGUCAGAGAAUUGGAUCGUACUCACAUAGUCUGUGUAACCUUGGUGUGGUCGCCCCACCCAAGUGAGCUCCGGAGUAGAUGUCAUGUUUGGGUAACACGAUUACCCAGCAGGCGGUCUCUGGUGUGUGUAGCGCAGAGUCUACUCACCAGUGAGAUUUGAGAUGUGAGUUUGGGCAUAACCCCCGGGUUAGCCGAGAUGAGAUUGGACAUCAGACAUAGUACUUGAUAGUAGGUUUCAUUGCUAUAUAGACAUUUCAUUUAUAUCAUGCAGAUUGAGAUAUAGUAUCAUGUUAGUAGAGUGCAUUACUAUUGUUCAUGCAUUCAUUCUGUUUAUUUAGGCAUAGUAGUAUGUUGUAGGUUUUGUUACUAUGUAGCAGCUCAUUUUCAUAUCUAUCUAUCUAUCUACUUAUACCUGCUUAGACCUAGUUGGAAGAUCGGCGGAGUCGGCGGCCAAACCCACUAGGAACUAUUCGUAGUUCUCACCCCACUUUGGUUGCAGGGCCGAGUUCGAGCGGACAGGGCGAGGACCGCGGUAAGGGCAUAGCGCCCUAGUUAGCUAGCAGCUUUCCUUAUGCAUUAGUACACCCUAUAUAGAUGGGAGAACAUGAUGUAUAUAUAUUUUGGUGAGUUGUGGAUGAACAUGUAUACAUUUUGGAGACGAAAAAUAUAAACUCGAUGUAUAUGUUGAAUGGAAUUGUAAUAGCUAGAUCUUUCUCUCUUUUGUUGAUUGCUUGUAUUACUACUUGCUUAGAGCAUGUGUGAGGUUAAUGUUUCCUGGGCAACUGUUUACAUAUAUGAUCUCAUUGUUGUUAGCCUUGGGCUGGCAGGGGAGGCUCUGUCCGUUCGACGUCUGAUCAACGUACCCGAACUAACCAAAUUGACGGUCCCGGGGCGUGACAGCGAGGGUGGGAGAGAGAGCGAGAGCGAGCUGUGCGAGAGAUAGAGAAAGAGAGCGAGAGGUGCGAGAGACAGAGAAAGAGAGGGUUAGUAGUUGCAUCCUCCGCCCUCUUCCUCCUCUUUUCUCCAUCUCUACUUCCUCUCUCUCUCUCUCACUCUCUCUCUCUCUCUCUCUCUCUCUCUCUCUCUCUCUCUUCAUUCUUCUCCCAUUUUUCGGCGAACUCAUGUCAUGCGGCCAUCCUCACAGUCUCUUCCUCUAUUUUCGGUUGGACUUGUAAAGCUGCGAUGCUUAGCCCAAUCCACACGUACGCCCCACACGAAGGCAGCAGUGAGUAAAUUAUAAUUUUUUCUUUAAUUUGAAUGCAGUUUUUCAUUUGAACUAAUUAAGAAGUCAUUGCUUCAUUUGAACUCAUUGAUUCACAUAAUUUUUCAAUAGUUUGUAGCAUUUUUGAGUAAAUUAUUAAUUUCUAAUUAUGGUGAAUUAUUUCACUAAUUUUUUCACUGAUUUGGACUAUGAUCUACUAGUUAACAGAUGAUGUAUUUUUAUUAUAAUUGUAUUUUAUUGAAAAUUUUCUGUGCUUAACAAUAUUUUGUAUUAAUAGGAUUUUUUUUACUUGAGUAGGUAGAUGUAUAGGUCUUCCAUAGGAUAUUGUUUUUCUGAAUUUGGUAAGUUUAAUUUUGUUUCCGCUAUAGCAAUUUUGUUGAUAUUUCAGCUAGUAAUUUUUCUCCAUGAUUUCGUAUUCAAGUCUCUCUGUUACAAUAAUAUGAAGUUUUUUAUGUUAUAGUUUUUAUUUUUUAGUUAUUUAACUCGAAGAUGAGGGUCGAUGUAAAUUGAGAUGGCAUUUAAUAGAAUCAAAAUCAAAAAUGGAAUUCCGAUUUCGUUGGAUGAAUCUCUAAACAAGACAUGCCACACAGCAAACAAACUCUGAACUAUGCACUUUGAUUUGAUUAAAAUCAAUUCUUGUUUCACCUAGGAAAACAAGUUCUGGAUGAAUUGACAAUGCCAACUCGAAUAAUUCAGCAUAUUCCACAUUAAUAGGAGUACAUUUAUGUUUGUGCUUCACGAAUAUGAUAUUGGCCAACUCAGUACCAGAAGUGUCUUCGCACUGCUGGAGAAUGAUACAGUAAAGGCUCACGUUCGCCAUUGUCUAUGACGAUCACAAGUUAUUAUGUCACUAGCAUGCAAAGGCUCACGUUCGCCAUUAUCUAUGACGAUCACAAGUGUCUGCCGCGAACGAACCGGCCCCGCUGUAGGGUGUUUCUAGGGCGAGUGGUCAUUCAUGGUAGAGAUAAAGUUUGUUUAUAUUUUUAUUUUAAAAUCAGGAUUAUAGGUUCAUGGCUUCCAACAGACUCAAGAAUCUGUUGUUAAUUACCCCACACUGUCAGUAUUAAGGAACCCUCGAUUAAGAGACCAAAUAUAAAUACUGAUAAAAGAGACCAAGCAGGAAAAUAAAAUUUUAUUCAUAUGAUUUGCCGUUUACAUAGCUUAAGCAGGGGCAUACCCCCACUGUACAUGAAUUUCAUAAAAUGACACAGCAUUCGGUUGAAGUUUUGAUUUAUUAAAUCCUAAGUAUAUGUAUUAGGAUUUAAUUGGAUUUGAGAUUGACUAGGUCCUAAGUAUAUGUGUUAAGACCUAGUCGAUAUUAGACUCUAUGUAUUAGAGUCUAAUUGGCUCUAAGUAUAUGUUUUAGAGUCCAAUUAUAUUCACCUUGGUUAUAUGUUCCAAGGUGGAGAUGUGACCAAACCUCAAGUAUAUGUAUUGAGGUGGGUCGAAUUACCCGAAAGUAGAGAGUGGCUGAUUCCUGAGUAUAUGUAUCAGGAUUAACCGAGUUUAAUAUGUUUUCACUCUAGUUAUAUGUGCUAGAGUGAAGAUCUGACUAAGCCCUAAGUAUAUGUAUUAGGGGUAGUCGGAUUUGAUUCAUAUGAACUCUAAGUAUAUAUAUUAGAGCUCGAUCGGGUAUGAGUUUCACUCCAGGUAUAUGUACUAGAGUGAAAGGCUGACUAGACCCUAAGUAUAUGGGUUAGGAUUAGUCGAACAUGGUUUGACUUCCGCUCUAGGUAUAUGUGCUAGAGCAAAAGACCGACUAGACCCUAGGUAUAUGUGCUAGGGUUAGUCGAGCAUGAUUUAACUUCAGCUCUAGGUAUAUGUACUAGAGCAAAAGGUUGACUAGACCCUAAGUAUAUAUGUUAGGGUUAGCCGGAUGAACUCUAAGUAUAUGUUUUAGAGUCCGAAUGAAGUUGAUAUCAUUUGACUGAAUUCUAAUUAUAUGGUUUAGAACUCUGUCGAUUUGGAGAUAUUUCGCCUUAGUUAUAUGUGUCAAGGCGAUUGACAUAGCCCUAAGUAUAUGUAUUAGGGUGGUCGAUGUUUAAUUUUUUUUACUCUAGGUAUGUGUGCUAGAGUAAAAAAAAAGGUUCAUGAGAUUUGGGUAUUGGUUCAUGAGAUUUGAGUAUUGGCUCAUGAGAUUUGGUUCAUGAAUUUGGAUAUGGUUCAUGGAUUUGGUGUAUGGACUUGGUUCAUGAAUUUGGAUAUGGUUCAUGGAUUUGGUGUAUGGACUUGGUUCAUGAACUUGGAUAUGGUUCAUGGAUUUGGUGUAUGGGCUUGGUUCAUGAACUUGGAUAUGAUUCAUGGAUUUGGUGUAUGGACUCGGUUCAUGAACUUGGAUAUGGUUCAUGGAUUUGGUGUAUGGGCUUGGUUCAUGAACUUGGAUAUGUUCAUGAACUUGGAUAUGAUUCAUGGAUUUGAUGUAUGGACUCGGUUCAUGAACUUGGAUAUGGUUCAUGGAUUUGGUGUAUAGGCUUGGUUCAUGGUUCAUGAAAUCCGAGUUUAGUUUAACGAUGACAUUUCGGUCGUUUGGAUUUGGGUUUAGUUUAUCGACGUUUCGGUCGAUUGAAAUCGAGGUAUUCAUGAAACUGAUUCAUGAAAUUAAAUAAUGCUAGGAGCCCAUUUGUAAAGUCCACCAAGUUAUUUGAUGAAAUUAAUUCAUGAUAGGGGCCAUUUGGAGAGCCCAUUGGUUCAUGAUAUUAAUUUAUGACAAAGAGGACCCAUGAAACUAAUUCAUAGAAUUAAUUCGUGAUAGGGAAUACAUUUGGAAAGCCCAAAAAAUUAAUUCAUAGAAUUAAUUCAUAGUGAGGGGCCCAUUUGGGAAGCCCAUGAAUUUGGUUUGGGUUGGAGGUAUUUGGGUGACAUAGGUUUGAUAGAUUUGAUUGGGUUUUAUUUGUAGACUUUGGAUUUUGGAUUUUUAUUUGUGAACUUUGGGUUUUGGAUCUUUUUAUUCGUGGACUUUGUGGAUUUUGGGUUUUGGAUCUUUAUUUGUGAACUUUGUGGAUUUUGGGUUUUUGGGUUUUUAUUUGUGGACUUUGUGGGUUUGGGUUUUUGGGUUUUUGGGUUUUUAUUUGUGGACUUUGUGGGUUUGGGUUGUGGAUCUUUAUUUGUGGACUUUGUGGGAUUGAGUUGAGGAAUUUUAUUCAUAUGUUUUUAUUGGCUUUUGAUCCAAAUCUGAAUGUGGGUUGAAAUAAAUUUCAGACUUUGCAUAUUUUGGGCCUUGGACCCGAAUCUAUAUGUGGGUUGAAGUAUGCUGCGGACUUUACAUGUUCUGGGCCCGAACCUGUAUAUGGGCUGGACUUUUAUUGAUUUAUAUCUGCACAUGGGCUGGAUUUCGGGCUUCACAUGUUUUGGGCCUUGGACCCGAAUUUGUAUGUAGACUGAGAUUAGUCUUGAGCUUCACAUGCUCUGGGUCUUGAACCCGAAUUUGCAUACGGACUUUGUAUUAUUUUUGAUUGCUUAUGAAAUUAGGCCCGUAAUGGAUUAACUCAUUGAAUUAAAUAACUCCGAUUUAAUUCCUCAAACUUUAUUCCCCUUUCUUUUUUUUUCCUUUUUUUUUGCUCUCUUUUUUUUUUUACUAAGAGUGAGGGAAUAAUAAUUGUUUUCUUUUUUUUUUGUUUUCUUUUUGUUGACUGUCAGAGAGAGAGAGAAGUCCAACUCCCUCUCUUUUUGUAUUUUGUUUUUCAUUCUUCUCUUUUUCUUUUUUUUUUUCGUUUCCUUUUUUCUUUUCUUUUCUCUUUUUUCUCCUUUUUUUUUUUUUUGACUGUUAGUGAGAGGGAGAGAAGUCCAACUCUCUCUCUUUUUUUUUGUAUUCCCUUUUUUUUUUUUUGUUGACUGGCAGGGAGAGGAAACAAAUCCCUUUUUUUUUUGUUGACUGCGAGAGAUAGAGAGAGAGAGUUAGACAACUCUCUCUUUAGACAACUCUCUCUCUCUCUCUCUUUAUCUCUGUACGAAACAGAGAGAGAAAGGGAGAAUUGCUCUAUUUUUUUUUUCUUUCUUUUUGUUGUUUGUUUCUUCUCUUUUUUUUUUGUUUUGUUUCUUCUUUUUUUUUUUGUGGUCCGAAAAAUGAAGUUGACGCGUCGAGCCAGUACGAUCGCAUCGAGAACGAAGGUGGCGAUCGAAACAGAACUUGUCCAUUUUUUUUUUUAUUACAACGUUUUGUUCAAGUGGCGCGGGUUUAAUCGUGUCGACCUAUCACGAAGAUGGCCGCACGAUUUUUAUACCCAUGUCGAGCCUAUCACGAAGAUGGCCGCACGGUUUUUUUUUUUUAUACCAUGUCGAGCCUAUCACGAAGAAAUGGCCGCACGGUUGAUACAUACGACGGAAGCAGAUAAUUUAAUGUCAAAUUUGAUCGGUUCGAAAAUCAAUCCGAAGAUGGUCGGAUUGAUCAAAUUGACAAAAAAAAAAAACGCACGGUUUGGAGAUUAUAAUGCAUACGCGCAACGGAAGCAACGAUUUUAAUGUCGGAUUUGAUUGAUUCGAAACCUAUCACGAAGAUGGUCGCGUUGAUCAAACCAACAAAAAAACCGUACUUACGCUGUGCGUAUGCAUGCGUAUCCCCUAUUAUUGUAGAAAUCGUCGUGAUUGUUUUUUUCUUUGCUGUUCUUCUCUUUCAGAUCCCCCUCUUCUUUUUUUUGAGAGGCCUUAUAAUAAGAUCCUAACUAUCUUUUGAAAAUUAUUCAAAAAAAAUAUAAAAAGGGAAUGAUAUUUUCAUACAAGGUAUGAAUCUUUUUUUCUUUUUUUUUUUUACCAUUUUUUCUUUUCAAUCAAUUUUUUCUUUCCUUUCCCUAUCCCCUUCCUUCUAUACUUUCAUUUUGAAUUUUGAUUUUUUUUUUUUCAAACAACAAGUUAUAGCACUCAAGAUCUAAUCCCUCUAGUUCCACUAGCCAUGUAGUGUUUCAUGUCAUUACUACUCAUCUCUAGUAUGCAUGUCCUUAUUUGCAUAAGAAGAACUUAAUACAAUAUAUACUACAACAUGUAGUAAUGCAUAAGAAGAACUUAAUACAAUAUAUACUACAACAUACUUUACUACAAGAAGUAUAUCAAUUAAUCUCUACUAAAUAGAGUAUUCCAACUAACCUCUACUAAAUAGAGUAUGGCAAUUUCAUAUAUGUCAAAUUAUCUCUACUAUAUCGAGUAUGCAAAAUAUCAUACAUAACAUAUGUCACACCCCGGGACCCAGCGGAAGCCUGCCCGGUGCGUGUCCAGACCCUUCAUAUGCCUACAACAUAUAACGCAUCUGCAACAAGCGAUAAAUAAAACGAGAAUAAAAAAUAUCUAGAGAUAUCAGAGCAUACAACAACUAGAUUCUAAAAUAAGGAAGGAUAAAUAAGAACUAAUCCACUAAUAUAAAUAGUAAAAGUACAUACAACGACAAAACCCCAAAUACAAGUGCUAUAAAAUCCAAAAAUGGUGGUCUCUAUACAUGGGUACAAAAACUCUCAUCCUCUCCAAAAAGGAACAAAAAGAGAGGUGAACCACCUAUCGUAAAAUCCCUCACUAACUAGCUCGAGGCGAUUUCUUUCCCGCGAUCCCGAGCCUCUCCCGGAGUGGAGGCUCUGUAAGAAAAACAACAAAACAGGGGGGCGUGAAAACUAUUAAACAAUAGUUUCCAGUGGGCAAUUGCUGACCUUAGCGAAAAUGCACCACUAGGCUAAAAAGCAAAAGUAGUAAGUUCUAACAAUUAAUUGCAAGGAAUAGUAUGAAUAUUUAACAUGAAUUGAAUUUACUAAAUACUAUGCCCCUACUUUAGCAUGAAUUUUCAUGAUUAUAAAUGCUAUUCUAACAUGAAUAUGCAUAAGUAUAACCAACAAGAUGUCCACAAUGUAACUAGUAAAUGUCAUUGUUUACUAAUUGUCUAAUGUCCACUUUGCAUUUUAGUUCAUUAGUAUCCCAAUCAUGUAGGACCUACCCGUGGGUAGUCCGGCCUGCGCAGUGCCUAAUAGCCCCAUAGUAGUCAACAUUCCCACCCUAGGAACGAGCCUCCCCUACGGCAUCCUAUUUCGGCACCCAAUCCCGCACGGGCGAGCUUAUGUCGCGAUGGCUAUCUCCGGAGUGCCGGCUUGUGGGGAGCGACCCUCACAAGCAUGUACAAAUGAGCACAAUGGCAAGCAAGCAUAAAUAUCCGUCUCAAGUCUAAUGUCAUCAUGUCUAAAACAUGGUACAAAAACUAGUGACCCAAUGGCCUAUCACUAUAUCAUCAAGUAAAGGUUUCACAUUUACUAUGUUCCAUGCCACUUUAUGACAUUCUUAUCCACUACAUCAAAUAUGAGUUCUGAGUCUAAGAGCAUAUCAUAUAAGUCAUUUUCUUUACAAGCAACAUGUAACAUACCGAACUUCUAAAACUUUGAAGUUACGGUGUACAUUUGGUUGGAAAGUCAUUUGAAUGAUCUCGAUAAAGUUCGGUGAAGUUCUGGAGCAUUCGGGCGUUUCGGUGCGCGUAGGCGCGAAAACGAAACCCGAAAGGCCAUGUUGGGCCGUGAGCUAAAUCCAGCAUUAGUGUGGAUGAAAAGAUGAUGAAAAUAUGUUCGAAAACAUGUUUGGAGAGUCUCGGUUCGAUUUGAAAAGAAUCGGAGGUCAAACGAGCGAAAACGAGCGAAAACGGAGUGAAAACGGACCCCGAAAGCUGAAAAAGCUGAAAAUUUGGCUAAGUCUGGAAUGCUGUUUUUCUGGACCUUCGGGGACCGGUCCCUCAAGUCCAAGGACC
rnacentral:lncRNA from 1 species